rnacentral:snRNA from 1 species
UUACUAUUUGAACCGUAC